rnacentral:lncRNA from 1 species
CAAUUAAUUGGGAAACGAAGGAGAAAAGGCCAUAUCUCAUCUUUUGGAAGGAGAAUGUCCUCAGAGUCCUGCAGAAAAGUAAACAACUUCAGCAUAUCAAAUUCAUGGCAUUUGCAUACAUACAUAUAACAUAAUUAGUUUUGUUAUGUUACCUUGACUUGGUCUAAUUCAGGUCCUCUAAGAGCAUCGAAGUAUCUUCCAACAGGAACACUUUUGUUCACAGGCUCGUUAAGGCCAGUGGCACCUUCGGCUCUUUGAUUCUCCAUUUCUUUCUCUUUUCUUGUAGGCAAUAGGGAAUUCUGCUUACUGAGAGUCGACUUGGUCCUGAAGAUGUUAAAGUCUCCUUUCCUUGCCUCCGCACCAACCCUGUUUGCCGAAUCAAAACCUCCAAAACUACGACCACUUCUCCGAAGAACC